rnacentral:rRNA from 1 species
UCCGUGGACAAUGUUAAGGACAAGUUGAAGUGCAUGAAUCUCUCGGAGGCUGAGAAGUUAGGAGUGAAAAUCUGCUAGAGGAGAGUGGCGGAGAAAAAGGGGAGUGUGGCUAAAGUGAUGGGGAAGUUGUUCUCUCAUAAAUCAGGACAUGCAGGAGGAAUGGAGAUGGCGGAAGGCAAGAUAUGGUGCCCGAUGAAGACUAUGGAGGUGAAGGAGAUGGGACAGAACCGUCUCCUGUUCCUUUUUCACUAGGAGGUGGGGAAGAGAAAGGCACGGGAAAAUGGCCCAUAGACCUUUGGCAAGAAGCUGCUAGUGAUGGAAGACUUCGAUCCUCGCAAAAUCAUAGAGGAGUACACUUUUAAAACGGUGCCAAUCUGGGUGAGAAUCUACAAUGUUCCACUGGGAAUGAUGUGCAAGGAGGUAGGGGAAGAAUUGGCGGAAGAUAUAGGUAAAUUGGUGGAGGUUGAUGGAGGCAAGGAUGGAACAACACUCCUUGUUACUUAA